ensembl:lncRNA
CGGGCGCUGGGGCGCGAGCUGGGCUGUGGACGCGCUCCCAGCCUCCAGCCGCGCGGGAGGAGCCGCGGUCCGAGGGACGCGCCAACAGACCGUUGAAAUUGGGGCGGGGGAGCUCUCGGUUUGCGUUUCUGGGAAAGCAGUUGAAAUCAGUGAAGCAGAAAAAGCAAGUUGCGAAAUGGAUAAGUUUAGUAAGAUCCCAUCUAUGUAGAAAGCGUCACAGAGCCGGAUUAUUUAUGUGGGGAAAAGGUAUUUGGAAGCUGUGAGAUACACCAUGGAAUUAGUGGCUACAGUGGAAUUUAUGAAGUUUAUUUAGCCUCCAUGUUUGCUGAAAGGAUUUACUGGAAGUUGGAAUGAGUAUCCUUUGAAUGCACUGAAAGGAAAGUAGAAUUCUUGUGGGUGAAGUUUAGAGAUCUUUUAAUCCAAGGGUUAUUUGACUAGCAAGAAUUUUGAUGAAUCUCAUUUGAAGAUUGUUACCCUCUGCAGCAUUUCCCCUAACCUUUAUCAUUGUAGAUAGAAAAUUGUCUUAAGAUUGGGUCUUAGCCUUGGUGCCAUUUCUCUUGCUUUUCAGUGUGGAGGAACGCAGGAGACUGAGUUUAGAUUUUUUUACAAAAUCACUGACCCUUUUGACUAUCAUAUCUGUUACUUUCCCCACCUUAAAGGCAUAAACUCAUAUGUUGUAUUAGAGGGAAAAGAUCCCCUGGAGAAGGGAAUGGCAACCCACUCCAGUAUGCUUGCCUGGAGAAUUCCAUGGACAGAGGAGCUUGAUGGAAUACAGUCCAUGGGGUCACAAGGAGUCCCACAGGACUGAGUGACUAACACUUUCAAUCCAUUGUCAGUUGGGGUGGGGGGGGGCAG